CAUCGCAUUCCUGUAUCCCUCAUCUGUGCAGUCACCCACUUGAGGUGUCACGUGGAUGUUUGUGUUAACACCACAUGCGCAGGAUGAUGCUUAUUAAACAUUUCACACCUUCUACACGCACACAGAAGCAUCUUUAUUCUUCCUCAACACAACUAUGGCCCACAUCCCACAGACAAGUCUCGCAGAACAAGGGGGCAGAGAUCACUCAGUUCCAGGAACUUUUCCUCAGCACACACCAGGUAGAAACAGAAGCCCAUAGCAUUAUGGGUCCUUCUCCAGGGCUAAUGUAAUAGGAGAGCCAUACAGUGAUUGAGGCGCAAUGGACUUUAAAGCUCCUCAGGUGGUGGGAACUCCCUAGAAAGCAGGGGAAGCAGGAAGGGCAGACCGGAGUGAGGUCUGGGAGGGCCUGAACGGGCUGGAGAGGGAGUUUGGACUCUGCUCCUUGGGCAGAAGGAUGGCUUCCGAGUUGAGAGAGGCCCUGGCCGUUUCCAGACUCAUGUUCUUUACUCUUGAUGACACAUCUGCUUGUAAUGUCCCUCCCAACUCUUCAGAUGACACUCAUUCUCAUCACCCUGCCUGGAUGUCACUCCUCAGAAAGGGCCUCCCUGACCAGCAUAUCCAAAGUCGUCGUGCAUCACCACCCCAUAGUUACUCUCUGUCACAACACAGCUUAUUUUUUCCUGGAUGAUUGUUUGUUAACAUGUCCCCUCACUCCUCUGAGGGUCAAGGGGACUCCAGGUGGAGAUUUCCAUGACUGUUCUGCUUAGGCAAAGACUUCAGCUGAAGCCCAACGUGUCCCAGAUCUUUAUCACCCACUGCCCCACCCUGAGCCGGGGCCAUAAAGCUCAAUCAGUUGUGCCCCUCUAUUCCAGCCCCAUUUGCUGGCAGAUCCCUAGUGCCUGGGACAUCCUACCACCUCUCCCCCAAGGACAUGCCCAUUGUCGCUGCCAGUGGGAGCCCCCACUUUAGGAACCAGGUCGGGGCCCUUUUCCUUCUUCAGGAAGCCCGCCCUGCUGGAUGGUCAGUCCAUCCUGCAGAUACCUGUGGCCCUCGUGGUCCAGUGACCUCACCAGCACUCCUAUGGUCACACCCUCUACUCGGUGACUUGUGUGCUGUUACCUUGAACUUUGGCACAUGAUUUAUUAUUUGUCAUCGUCAUUUGACAUCCUUAAAAACAGAGUCUCAGUCUUCCUAUAGCCCUGCCUCAGCUCAGAGCAGCUCUGCAUGCAGCUUAUGUGGCAUCCACACAGUCGAAUCUGUGCGACCCUACUAGGGACUCUGAGAGGCUCACUCCCGGUUCUUGCUGCUGGCUCUGAGCUCCACCCCCAGCCCAAGCCAGCCCUUCCCCAGCCAGAGUCCAGUAGAAAUGUUCAUAGGCCUGACUUCCCUCCUUACCCCCAGCCAGAAUCCCAGCAUGGCCAGUUCUGGAGGCCAAAUGGUGAGGACUUGGCCCUGGGCCCUGGCCGCAGCCUUCCCUGGGGCCAGUGUGGCCUCGCUCACCAGCCUCCGGCUCCAGCCUGGCAACCUGGGUGUCCUGGAGCCCACGGGUCUUUCCCUGUUCUUCCACAGCCUAAAUGUCACCUUCCUUCAGCUCCCCCAAGACCAUGGAUCUCUCUCUCCUCUGCACCCUGUCCCCAAUACCAUCUGGUUCUAUGACACUGUGCGAGUUAUAAAGGGGCCACGGAGAGAGAGGCCCCAGGGGUCCACACACUAGGUCUGGCCUGGUUCCUCCACUUGCUGGCUGUUCUCCCUGAUGCUGGCAAGUUACGUAACCUCUCUGAAUCAAGUUUAUUCCUCAGUGAAAUAGAAAUUAUCUGGGUAGUACACUCUUCUCAGGGUUGUGAGGUUGUCAGCAGCUUAGGAAGGUGCCUGGUUGGAACAACGUGUCCUAUAAAUGGUGGCUGUCACUACCAUGUCUCGGGCUUCCUUCCCUCCCCACUCCAGCACUAAGCACAGUGCAGGGCACACAGCCCCCCUGCCCAGACCCCCAGAUCUGACUGGAGCCAGGCACAUCUCAGGAAGGGGUUAACCACUGGCAGUGAAUUCAUCAGGCCUUGGAGCAGGAAGGAGGCAGAGAAAAUAACAAAAUCAGGCCAGAGGCUGGGUGGAAUUUUCCAGUGCUCAAAAACAGGACCAGUCAGGUUGCUCAGGGAGGUCACCAUGGAAACAGUCACGUGCGCCUGCCUUCUGGUUCUUCCAGUCUGGCUCAGGGCCCGAUGACAGAAGCUGCAGCCCUCCUCAUUGGCUGCCACCUUCCUCUUGCCACCGAAAUCUGGCAGGAGAUUGGCCAAGGGCAGUUGCUGGGCUGGAGUUCCUCUUCCUCAAGGGAACCUGCUGGAAGCUGUUGUUUUGAACCUGGGGAGGACUCAAAAUAGGCUGCCAAAGAUGUUGCCAUAACAACUGCUUUCCUUCCUGCCCUCCUUGGAGUUAGGACUUCUUUGGGAAGUUGACUUCUUGGUAGUUCAAGUACUUUUCCAAAGGCAGAGGAGGCGUCAGCCAUUUUACAUUGACCUAACCUUCUUCUUUUGAAGGAGAACUCCCUCAUCUUCCAUAGUUCAAGGAAUUUCUGAGUCUUUACUUGUGGCUUUGGUUACCAAUCCCUUCCCCUCCACCCCCCAACCCCUGUUUCUUCCUGUGAAACGGGGUAUUCAUUCCAGGACUCACAAUCUUCUAGGGCUGGAGUGAGGCUCCCACCGGACAAAGUCUGCAAAUGCUUAUCAUAAACUGUAAAGCUCUGUGCACUCACCAUGUGCCUUUAAUUGACCAGCACUGACAUUAGCUUAGGGUGGAAUGGGCCUAUGAGAUGGAGCUGGGGGCCUCACUGACUUGCUUAGCAAAGCCCAGAGCCCCAGGACCCUGGGGCCCCUUUAGGGUUUAUUUCAUCUUCUGUCACCAACUGCCUUCCCGGACCAUCAGCAGCUCACAUAGCCCCCGGGGACUCACUUCCUCUUUCUGUAAAAGGAUUCCUCUGUAUGAUCUCAGGAGACCCUUUCCAGCCCGGGAAAUUCCAUGAUCCGAAGUUAAAGGCCAGCCUCCUUUCCACAAUCAAUCUGUGCAGCUCAUCUUCCUCAUAGGAGGUGAAAGCCCAGGCAACAGCCCACACGGAGCAGUUGCUAUGUGGCAGGCACUGCACGCACGUUAACUCAAUCUUCAGAGCAACCUUACAAGGCACCAAUUGAAGACAAAAACAACGUGAGUCGACACAGAGGAGGCCUCGUCCCCGGGUCCAGCCAGAGCCCCGGAGAACUCCUUCCUCGACCCUGCAGAGCUCGUGUGCUGAGUUGUUCUUGGCAUCCUACUCGCUGGAUGUUGCAGUGCCCCGGGAACAAUGCCUUCAGUUAGGAAGGCUGCUAUGGAGAGCAACCACAUCCCUAUAUGAAGACCUAGAAGCUCAAAGUCAUAACUGAGGCACAACGUUGGCAGUGAUACAGGACUCUAUGGCCUUUCCCCUGGUCUUUUAAGCCUGCCUGAACUUUCUCCGCCUGAUCGUUAUCUAGCUGGCUAGCUAGCUCACCUUCGCUGUCUGUUUAAAAGCUGACUCCAAUCCUUUGUGUAAAAGGUGGCUAUAAAGAGAGAAAUUACAAAACGA